UGGAAUAGCUUCCAAGGGACCCUUUCUAUGAUCACACGGAACAUGUGGUUAUUCCCACACAUAUAGCCUGCAGAGUACAACAGUUGUGGUCUUCUGCUUCCAAGUCCCACUUCUGAACCCUAUCAUGUUUCCCUGCACCAACUUCAUAUCCUUAGGCUUUUUUCAGGGUCCAUGAUUUGUCUAUGAGUAAAUAUUUCAGCUAGAACUGGUCAGGGACCGAAUUUUCCAUUUCAUGGAAAAUGCUGCACCUUUGAUAUUUUUUUCCAUUCCAAAAUGGAACAUAAACAAAAAAGUUUUUGAAAUUUCCCACAAACAAAAAUUUAAAAAAGGGAGGGGACUGAAACUUUUCAUUUUGAUCAUAUCAAAACAUUUUGCUCUGAUUUUGACUUUUACAUUUUAUUAUAGAAUAACACAAUUUUGAUGAAAAGUUGUUUCAGAUUCCCAAAAGGAAUGUUUCAACUGUAUCUUAGUGCUCAGUUUUUUUUUCUAAACAACAUUUUGUUGAAAUUGACAUGUUUCCAUGAAACAUCUCACUUUCCUGAAUUGAUAUUUUCUGUCAAAAACACUUUACAGAAAAUUUCCAUCCAACUUCCGAUACAUGUGUGACAGCUAUUGCAAUCCCAUCAGAUAUCUUAGGGGACCAUACUGUAUGAUGUUUACAUAUCACUGUGGGCCAGGGAUUGUAAGGAGUUCCUGAAGGGAGGGUUACCACAAUCAGGAACCAAAAACAAGGUGAAUCACUUAGGUUGUAAACACUGCCAGGAAUGUACUACUCUCUAAGGAGAUUUGCAUAUAUAUUGGUUUAAACUGGGCUUUCCAGACCAGAAAUCAACAGACCAAAAAAAAAAAAGGCUUUUGAAAUUAAAAAAAAAAAAAAAAAAAGAGUGGGGGGUGGGUAGAUUGACUCAGAACCUUCUCUCUGAUCCAGCAAAUGAACAGGACCUGGUCAGAAGGGAGCUGUACAAAGAUCCCUAGCCAGAGACUGCUGGAGACAUAAGACCUGCGUGGACAUUCCUGGAGUGGACCACAGAAUGGGGGAUACAGGUCAAUUGAACAAAGUGGCUUAGUUGCUCAGCUCAGACAACGCUGCCAACCUUAUAGGUAAAUCUUCAUCUAAGACAAACCUGCCUAUUGAAUGUGAAGAAUUGUGCUCCAUAGCUCAAGUCAAGCAUAAGCCUGUGGCACCAGAACUCCUCAAGGGCUAAGAAGCUCAGUAAACCUGGCUCACACCUGACCAGAGGGCCAAUCGGGGGACAAGAUACUUUCAAAUCUUGGUGGAGGGAAGUCUUUGUUUUGUGCUGUUUGUUUUGUUCGUUGUUCGCUCUUGGGGCUAAGAGGGACCACAUGUGCAACCAGGUCUUUCUCCAAUCUUUCUGAAACAGUCUCUCAUGUUCAAAAUAGUAAGUACUAGCUAGAAAAGGCGGAUUAGUCUUAUGUUUGUUUUCUUAACUUGUGAAUGUGUAUUUUGCUGGAAGGAGUUUUACCUCUGUUUGCUGUAACUUUGAAUCUCAGGCUAGGGGGUGGGGGAAGUCCCUCUAGUCUAUAUGAGCUGAAUACCCUGUAAACAUUUUACAUCCUGAUUUUACAGAAAUAAUUUUUACUUUUUCUUUCUUUAAU